UCAUCUUCACAUGGCUCUCUCUCUCUCUCUCUCUCUCUCUCUCUCUCUGUGUGUGUGUGUGUGAGAGAGAGAGAGAGAGAGAGAGAGAGAGAGAGAGAGAGUUCUCUUGUCUCU
rnacentral:miRNA from 1 species